rnacentral:rRNA from 1 species
GAGUAACAAAAAAUGGUAAUAUUAUUUUAAAAACCAAAGUAUCACGGCGGCCUUUUUUAACUAUUAGAGAAACCUGUUUUCUAAUCGAUACUACACGUUAAUUUUCACUUAAUAAAAAAGCCUUUAUACCUCCGUCUAAAUUAAAUUUUUUUGCUUAAUUACUAUGAAUAUCUUCUCUAAAGUCAGGUCAAGGUUAGGCCAUUCUUAACUUUAAAUGGGUCUCAAUAAAAAUUAAUUCAAGAACAAAUUCUAAAAAAAAUGAAAUCAGAAUUUAAAAGUAAUUUUUUUUCAACAAGCAAAAUGAAAAGAAACUAGGUGCACUUAUCGCCCGUCACCCUAAUCCAAAGAUUAGGU